AACGGCGAGUGAAGCGGCAACAGCUCAAAUUUGAAAUCUGGCUCUUUCAGGGUCCGAGUUGUAAUUUGUAGAAGAUGCUUCGGGUGUGGCUCCGGUCUAAGUUCCUUGGAACAGGACGUCAUAGAGGGUGAGAAUCCCGUAUGUGACCGGUUGCUUUCGCCCAUGUGAAGCUCUUUCGACGAGUCGAGUUGUUUGGGAAUGCAGCUCAAAAUGGGUGGUAAAUUUCAUCUAAAGCUAAAUAUUGGCCAGAGACCGAUAGCGCACAAGUAGAGUGAUCGAAAGAUGAAAAGCACUUUGGAAAGAGAGUUAAACAGUACGUGAAAUUGUUGAAAGGGAAGCGCUUGCAACCAGACUUGCACGCUGCCGAUCAUCUGGGGUUCUCUCCAGUGCACUCGGUUGCGUUCAGGCCAGCAUCGGUUUGGGUGGUUGGAUAAAGGCUUAGGGAAUGUAGCUUCUUUCGGGGAGUGUUAUAGCCCUAGGUGCAAUGCAGCCUACCCGGACCGAGGACCGCGCUUCGGCUAGGAUGCUGGCGUAAUGGUUGUAAGCGACCCGUCUUGA
rnacentral:rRNA from 1 species